rnacentral:rRNA from 1 species
AGUGAACGCUGGCGGCAGGCCUAACACAUGCAAGUCGAGCGGCAGCGGGUCCUUCGGGAUGCCGGCGAGCGGCGGACGGGUGAGGAAUACAUCGGAAUCUGCCCUGUCGUGGGGGAUAACCUAGGGAAACUUAGGCUAAUACCGCAUACGGCCUACGGGUGAAAGCGGGGGAUCGCAAGACCUCGCGCGACAGGAUGAGCCGAUGUCCGAUUAGCUAGUUGGCGGGGUAAAGGCCCACCAAGGCGACGAUCGGUAGCUGGUCUGAGAGGAUGAUCAGCCACACUGGGACUGAGACACGGCCCAGACUCCUACGGGAGGCAGCAGUGGGGAAUAUUGGACAAUGGGCGCAAGCCUGAUCCAGCCAUGCCGCGUGGGUGAAGAAGGCCUUCGGGUUGUAAAGCCCUUUUGUCCGGGAAGAAAUCGUCUGGGCUAAUACCCCGGGCGGAUGACGGUACCGGAAGAAUAAGCACCGGCUAACUUCGUG